GCUAGGUGUGGUUGUGUGCACCUGUAGUCCAAGCUACUCAGGAAGCUGAGGUGGGAGGAUUGCUUGAGCCCAGGAGUUUGAGACUGCAGUGAGCUAUGAUCACACCACUGUACUCCAGCCUGGGUGACAGAGUAAGAUCCUAUCUCUA
ensembl:misc_RNA Metazoa_SRP Metazoan signal recognition particle RNA